rnacentral:tRNA from 1 species
GGGCAUGUUGGCUACGGGGUUUGCGUUGCAGCUGAUAGGCUCGUUGCCGUUCUGAUUGUUAAUCAGUAGGUCAUGGGUUCGAAUCCCAUCGCGCUCA